UACCUCUUACGACAUUGGCAUCUACUCACAAUCACGGACCUCAGUAGCCGCCUGCAGGUGGGCUUCCAGAGGGAGAACCUCCAGAGGGAGAGCCCCCAGAGGGAGUUGGGCUAUAUGGGGGGCUAGAGUAAGAAGGAGAUGAUGGAGUGGUAGGAGAUGAACCAGACGGGGUAGGGCUGUAAGGGGGGCUAGAGUAAGUAGGCGACGACGGGGUAGGAGGAGACGGACCAGAUGGGGUCGGACUGUAUGGGGGACUGGAGUAAGUAGGAGACGAUGGAGUAGAAGGAGAUGGGUCGGAAGGAGUUGGGCUGUAUGGGGGACUCGAGUAAGAUGGAGACGAGGGAGUUGUAGGAGAUGAGCUGGAGGGAGUUGGACUGUAAGGAGGGCUGGAAUAGGUAGGAGAUGACGGAGAAGAACCAGAAGGAGUUGGGCUGUAAGGAGGGCUAGAAUAUGUAGGAGAUGACGGAGAAGGACCUGAAGGAGCAGUAGGAGAUGGACUAGAAGGAGCUGGGCUAUAUGGAGGACUGGAAUAAGUAGGAGAUGAGGGAGUCGUAGGAGAUGAACUGGAAGGAGUCGGGCUGUAUGGAGGACUAGAGUAGGAUGGAGAAGGGGUCACAGGAGACCCACCGGAGGGAGUACCAGGAGAGUAAGGAGGAGAACUGUAGACUGGAGUGGGA
rnacentral:lncRNA from 1 species